AUGAACGCUGGCGGCGUGCCUAAUACAUGCAAGUCGAGCGAACAGACGAGAAGCUUGCUCCUCUGACGUUAGCGGCGGACGGGUGAGUAACACGUGGAUAACCUACCUAUAAGACUGGGAUAACUUCGGGAAACCGGAGCUAAUACCGGAUAAUAUAUUGAACCGCAUGGUUCAAUAGUGAAAGACGGUUUUGCUGUCACUUAUAGAUGGAUCCGCGCCGCAUUAGCUAGUUGGUAAGGUAACGGCUUACCAAGGCAACGAUGCGUAGCCGACCUGAGAGGGUGAUCGGCCACACUGGAACUGAGACACGGUCCAGACUCCUACGGGAGGCAGCAGUAGGGAAUCUUCCGCAAUGGGCGAAAGCCUGACGGAGCAACGCCGCGUGAGUGAUGAAGGUCUUCGGAUCGUAAAACUCUGUUAUUAGGGAAGAACAAAUGUGUAAGUAACUAUGCACGUCUUGACGGUACCUAAUCAGAAAGCCACGGCUAACUACGUG
rnacentral:rRNA from 1 species